rnacentral:rRNA from 1 species
AUACGUAGGGGGCUAGCGUUAUCCGGAAUUACUGGGCGUAAAGGGUGCGUAGGUGGUUUCUUAAGUCAGGAGUGAAAGGCUACGGCUCAACCGUAGUAAGCUUUUGAAACUAAGAGACUUGAGUGCAGGAGAGGAGAGUAGAAUUCCUAGUGUAGCGGUGAAAUGCGUAGAUAUUAGGAGGAAUACCAGUUGCGAAGGCGGCUCUCGGGACUGUAACUGACACUGAGGCACGAAAGCGUGGGGAGCAAACAGGAUUAGAUACCCUGGUAGUCCACGCCGUAAACGAUGAGUACUAGCUGUCGGGGGUUACCCCCCUCGGUGGCGCAGCUAACACAUUAAGUACUCCGCCUGGGAAGUACGCUCGCAAGAGUGAAACUCAAAUGAAUUGACGGGG